rnacentral:piRNA from 1 species
AAGAUGGUGAAGGACAUGGAGGCUC